GAAAGAAAGAAAGAAAGAAAGAAAGAAAGAACAAAGAAAAAGA
rnacentral:ribozyme from 1 species